UACCCGCGCCCCUAGUGGUGGUCGAUAUUAUUGAGCCUAAAACGUCCGUAGCCGGUCUUCUAAAUCCUUGGGUAAAUCGGGCAGCUUAACUGUCCGAAUUCCGGGGAGACUGGGAGACUUGGGACCGGGAGAGGUCAGAGGUACUUCUGGGGUAGGGGUAAAAUCCUGUAAUCCUGGAAGGACCACCGGUGGCGAAGGCGUCUGACUAGAACGGAUCCGACGGUGAGGGACGAAGCCCUGGGGCGCAAACGGGAUUAGAUACCCCGGUAGUCCAGGGUGUAAACGCUGCGGGCUUGGUGUUGGGGGUCCUUAGUGGGCGCCCAGUGCCGGAGAGAAGUUGUUAAGCCUGCUGCUUGGGGAGUAUGUCCGCAAGGAUGAAACUUAAAGGAAUUGGCGGGGAGCACCGCAACGGGAGGAGCGUGCGGUUC
rnacentral:rRNA from 1 species